rnacentral:rRNA from 1 species
AGAAACUUACAACAAAGAGUCCCUCCCGACUGUUUACCAAAAACACAGCACUCUGCUAACUCGUAAGAGGAUGUAUAGGGUGUGACGCCUGCCCGGUGCUCGAAGGUUAAUUGAUGGGGUUAGCAUUAGCGAAGCUCUUGAUCGAAGCCCGAGUAAACGGCGGCCGUAACUAUAACGGUCCUAAGGUAGCGAAAUUCCUUGUCGGUUAAAUACCGACCUGCAUGAAUGGCGUAACGAGAUGGGAGCUGUCUCAAAGAGGGAUCCAGUGAAAUUGUAGUGGAGGUGAAAAUUCCUCCUACCCGCGGCAAGACGGAGAGACCCCGUGGACCUUUACUACAGCUUGACACUGCUAUUUGGAUAAGAAUGUGCAGGAUAGGUGGGAGGCUUUGAGUAUAUGACGCCAGUUGUAUAGGAGCCAUUGUUGAGAUACCACUCUUUCUUAUUUGGGUAGCUAACCAGCUUGAGUUAUCCUCAAGUGGGACAAUGUCUGGUGGGUAGUUUGACUGGGGCGGUCGCCUCCCAAAUAAUAACGGAGGCUUACAAAGGUUGGCUCAGAACGGUUGGAAAUCGUUCGUAGAGUAUAAAGGUAUAAGCCAGCUUAACUGCAAGACAUACAAGUCAAGCAGAGACGAAAGUCGGUCUUAGUGAUCCGGUGGUUCUGUGUGGAAGGGCCAUCGCUCAAAGGAUAAAAGGUACCCCGGGGAUAACAGGCUGAUCUCCCCCAAGAGCUCACAUCGACGGGGAGGUUUGGCACCUCGAUGUCGGCUCAUCGCAUCCUGGGGCUGGAGCAGGUCCCAAGGGUAUGGCUGUUCGCCAUUUAAAGCGGUACGCGAGCUGGGUUCAGAACGUCGUGAGACAGUUCGGUCCCUAUCUGCCGUGGGCGUAAGAAGAUUGAAGAGAUUUGACCCUAGUACGAGAGGACCGGGUUGAACAAACCACUGGUGUAGCUGUUGUUCUGCCAAGAGCAUCGCAGCGUAGCUAAGUUUGGAAAGGAUAAACGCUGAAAGCAUCUAAGCGUGAAGCCAACUCUAAGAUGAAUCUUCUCUAAGCUCUCUAGAAGACUACUAGUUUGAUAGGCUGGGUGUGUAAUGGAUGAAAGUCCUUUAGCUGACCAGUACUAAUAGAGCGUUUGGCUUAUCUUU